UACGGAGGAUCCGAGCGUUAUCCGGAAUUAUUGGGUUUAAAGGGUGCGUAGGCGGCCAUUUAAGUCAGCGGUGAAAUUUUGCAGCUUAACUGUAACAGUGCCGUUGAUACUGUUUGGCUAGGAUUUGGUUGUAGUGUGCGGAAUGUGUGGUGUAGCGGUGAAAUGCUUAGAGAUCACACAGAAUAUCGAUUGCGAAGGCAGCUCACAAAGCCAAGAUUGACGCUGAGGCACGAAAGUGUGGGGAUCAAACAGGAUUAGA
rnacentral:rRNA from 1 species